UUGGAGUUUUCUCCUCCCAGGCCUGGAAUAGGGUCAGACUGCCCUGAGGAGAAGCAGCAGAGACUGGGACUACAUUGU
rnacentral:pre_miRNA from 14 species